rnacentral:lncRNA from 1 species
AUAAAUAACAACAAAAUUAGAUUGAAAGUAUGAAAGAAAGAAAAUAUAUUACAAUAUAAUAUACAGGUAACUCUUCUGCAACAUGUAAUUCUAUAACAUGAUACAAAAAAUUGUGAAAAUCUUUAUACAGCUACUGUAUUUUUAUAUUAAUGGAUAACACAAUGGUUGAUUGAAAUAUUUAAAAAUUAAAUUAUUGUAAAAUAAUAAAUUUUAGGGGUUUCAUAUAACAAGGUUCAACUUAACACAGUCAAGUCACAGCAACAACAACAAUUUUUUAGGAACCUAUCUACCUUGUUAUAGGAGGGUUACCUGUAUAUAUAUUUAAUUAUAUUAUUAACUAUUAUAUUAUUAAAUUACAAAAAAGAUUAGAUUGAAAGUAUGAAAGAAAGAAAAUGAUUGGGUAAGUACCGCUCCAAUAAAGCCAAUUUUGUUCGAA